UACAGAGGAGCCAAGCGUUGUCCGGAUUGACUGGGCGUAAAGCGCGUGUAGGCGGUCCGGUAAGUCCGCUGUGAAAGUCGGGGGCUCAACCCUUGAAUGCCGGUUGAUACUGUCGGGCUAGAGUCCGGAAGAGGCGAGUGGAAUUCCCGGUGUAGCGGUGAAAUGCGCAGAUAUCGGGAGGAACACCAAUUGGCGAAGGCAGUUAACUAUUCGACACCUGACAUUGAGGCACGAAAGCGUGGGGAGCAAGACGG
rnacentral:rRNA from 1 species